GCGCUCGAAGCUUCGGCUUAGAGCAUGUCUGGCUCAGUGUCGGGUA
rnacentral:rRNA from 1 species